rnacentral:rRNA from 1 species
GACGAACGCUGGCGGCGUGCUUAACACAUGCAAGUCGAACGGAAAGGCCCUGCUUUUGUGGGGUGCUCGAGUGGCGAACGGGUGAGUAACACGUGAGUAACCUGCCCUUGACUUUGGGAUAACUUCAGGAAACUGGGGCUAAUACCGGAUAGGAGCUCCUGCUGCAUGGUGGGGGUUGGAAAGUUUCGGCGGUUGGGGAUGGACUCGCGGCUUAUCAGCUUGUUGGUGGGGUAGUGGCUUACCAAGGCUUUGACGGGUAGCCGGCCUGAGAGGGUGACCGGCCACAUUGGGACUGAGAUCCGGCCCAGACUCCUACGGGAGGCAGCAGUGGGAAAUAUUGCACAAUGGGCGGAAGCCUGAUGCAGCAACGCCGCGUGCGGGAUGACGGCCUUCGGGUUGUAAACCGCUUUCGCCUGUGACGAAGCGUGAGUGACGGUAAUGGGUAAAGAAGCACCGGCUAACUACGUG